rnacentral:lncRNA from 1 species
GAACUAAACCAUGCCUAAAUUAUGCUUAGCUCAAUAUAGGAUUAUAGGUCAACUCAGUAGUCAUGAUAUGUACAAAAGGACGGUGCUAGCAGAUGAUUCAGAGAUUCAGAUUGAAAAAUCCGUAGGCUAUACGGAUUUGAUCAGUCAGGAGUUGCACAACGCCAACAUAAGGACUACAGGAGGCAACAAAAAAACAAAGCCCAAGAGAUUGAAAUGGAAGAUUAUCCCAUCCAAGCAGGAGAACCACUCAUUCUUGCAGAGCAGAGUUCUGUUUUCAGGGAACACCAUUCUUAAUUUGUUCCGUCAACAACAGCAGCAGGUUUCGAUGAAGGAAAGCUCAUUCUUUUGCAUGAUAAUGAAACAAUCUGUAUUUUUGUCAGUCCAGUGGCUGCUUAUGCUUAGAAACAGUGGUUUCGUGUAG